rnacentral:rRNA from 1 species
CGUCGCCACGGUAAUACGUAGGGUGCAAGCGUUAAUCGGAAUUACUGGGCGUAAAGCGUGCGCAGGCGGUUAUAUAAGACAGAUGUGAAAUCCACGGGCUCAACCUGGGAACUGCAUUUGUGACUGUAUAGCUAGAGUACGGCAGAGGGGGAUGGAAUUCCGCGUGUAGCAGUGAAAUGCGUAGAUAUGCGGAGGAACACCGAUGGCGAAGGCAAUCCCCUGGGCCUGUACUGACGCUCAUGCACGAAAGCGUGGGGAGCAAACAGGAUUAGAUACCCGAGUAGUCCCUGUCUCUUAUACA